rnacentral:rRNA from 1 species
AUUGAACGCUGGCGGCAAGCAUAACACAUGCAAGUCGAACGAGUGGCGGACGGGUGAGUAAUGUCUGGGAAACUGCCCGAUGGAGGGGGAUAACUACUGGAAACGGUAGCUAAUACCGCAUACCAUCGGAUGUGCCCAGAUGGGAUUAGCUCGUAGGUGGGGUAACGGCUCACCUAGGCGACGAUCCCUAGCUGGUCUGAGAGGAUGACCAGACACACUGGAACUGAGAAACGGUACAGACUCCUACGGGAGGCAGCAGUGGGGAAUAGUGCACAAUGGGCGCAAGCCUGAGGCAGCCAUGCCGCGUGUAUGAAGAAGGCCUUCGGGUUGUAAAGUACUUUCAGCGGGGAGGCGUUACUAGCAGAAGAAGCAACGGCUAACUCCGUGCCAGCAGCCGCGGUAAUAC